rnacentral:rRNA from 1 species
AAUUUUCCGCAAUGGGCGAAAGCCUGACGGAGCAAUACCGCGUGCGGGAGGAAGGCCUUUGGGUCGUAAACCGCUUUUAACAGGGAAGAAGAUCUGACGGUACCUGUUGAAUAAGCCUCGGCUAACUCCGUGCCAGCAGCCGCGGUAAGACGGAGGAGGCAAGCGUUAUCCGGAAUUAUUGGGCGUAAAGCGUCCGCAGGUGGCCUUUCAAGUCUGCUGUUAAAGCCCAGGGCUCAACUCUGGAUCAGCAGUGGAAACUGAAAAGCUAGAGUACGGUAGGGGUAGAGGGAAUUCCCAGUGUAGCGGUGAAAUGCGUAGAUACUGGGAAGAACACCAGUGGCGAAGGCGCUCUGCUGGGCCGUAACUGACA